rnacentral:tRNA from 1 species
ACUAGUUUAGUAUAAUUAAGUGCGUAGAAUUGUAGCUUCUAAAGAAAUGUUAAUUUCAUUAUCUAGAA